rnacentral:misc_RNA from 1 species
GAUGAAGAACGUAGCGAAAUGCGAUAAGUAAUGUGAAUUGCAGAAUUCAGUGAAUCAUCGAAUCUUUGAACGCACAUUGCGCCCGCCAGUAUUCUGGCGGGCAUGUCUGUUCGAGCGUCAUUUCAACCCUCAGGGCCCUUUUGGACCUGGCGUUGGGGCUCGGCCGCUACCCUGCGGCCGUCCCCGAAAGAUAGUGGCGGUCUCGCUGUAGCCUCCUCUGCGUAGUAGUUACAUCUCGCACUGGAACGCGGCGCGGCCAUGCCGUUAAACACCCCACUUCUCAAGGUUGACCUCGGAUCAGGUAGGAAUACCCGCUGAACUUAAGCAUAUCAAUAAGCGGAGGA